GAGUGAAGAAGGGUUUCGGCUCGUAAAGCUCUGUUGUUGGAGAAGAACGUGCGUGAGAGUAACUGUUCACGCAGUGACGGUAUCCAACCAGAAAGUCACGGCUAACUACGUGCCAGCAGCCGCGGUAAUACGUAGGUGGCAAGCGUGUAUUCGGAUUUAUUGGGCGUAAAGCGAGCGCAGGCGGUUGCUUAGGUCUGAUGUGAAAGCCUUCGGCUUAACCGAAGAAGGGCAUCGGAAACCGGGCGACUUGAGUGCAGAAGAGGACAGUGGAACUCCAUGUGUAGCGGUGGAAUGCGUAGAUAUAUGGAAGAACACCGGUGGCGAAGGCGGCUGUCUGGUCUGCAACUGACGCUGAGGCUCGAAAGCAUGGGUAGCGAACAGGAUUAGAUACCCUGGUAGUCCAUGCCGUAAACGAUGAGUGCUAGGUGUUGGAGGGUUUCCGCCCUUCAGUGCCGGAGCUAACGCAUUAAGCACUCCGCCUGGGGAGUACGACCGCAAGGUUGAAACUCAAAGGAAUUGACGGGGGCCCGCACAAGCGGUGGAGCAUGUGGUUUAAUACGAAGCUACGCGAAGAACCUUACCAGGUCUUGACAUCUUGCGCUAACCUAAGAGAUUAGGCGUUCCCGUUCGGGGACGCAAUGACAGGUGGUGCAUGGUCGUCGUCAGCUCGUGUCGUGAGAUGUUGG
rnacentral:rRNA from 2 species